CUCAUAUGUACAGCUUCCAUAUCUCUAUAUUACACUAAUACGCACAGCCUCCAUCUCACUAUAUUACACUACUAUGGACAGCUUUCAUCUCUCUAUAUUAGACUGAUAUGGACAGACCCCAUCUCUCUAUAUUACACUGAUAUGGACAGCCUCCAUCUCUCUAUAUUAGACUAAUAUGUACAGCCUCCAUAUCUCUAUAUUACACUAAUACGGACAGCUCCCAUAUCUCUAU